ACCUUACAGAAAACCGCAGCCAAAUAACACUAGCUAGACCCUAAGUACUCAUAGUGUUGUGUUCCUGUCGGUGAGUAAGGUUGCCAGAGCUCAACUAGGCGCGGAGUGCUAGGGUCUGCAACGCGCACGUAACACCUCUGGAGUUGCAGGCGUCCAUAGGCUACGGAGACUGCUCGCCAUCAGGUAGGCCGUAUGCUUGUUUGCCACCGACGUAGUAUAAAAAAAAAUAAA